rnacentral:tRNA from 1 species
GAGAGUUGGCGGAGGAAGACCCCACGAUCAAGCCUCUCAAGCUGAUCAUCAUGUCCGCCACCCUCAGGGUUGAGGAAUUCACCCAAAACUCU